CUAGUAAUAUUAUUCAUAGUUUUCGAAAAUUCAUUUUUUCCAGCCAAGGUAUCAAAAUGGGGAAUUUGUGAACAAUCUUCCACAAUAUUUGUAGUGGCACUAAAUUAUUGUUCCGGUUCACUUUUACUUGACGAAAUAUUAAGCGAAUUUCACCCGGCGCCAUCGCUCCGUCCGACGAAAUUUACUCAGCGAACUCGUUCUGUUUAUACUUUAACAGUUUUUUCAGGGGCUCUCAAGUGUCCCUACAAAACCAGGAAAAGCAUGUUAUUUCUUAGAUCUCCGGACCCUACGGGAAUGACGUCGCACUACAUCAUGAGGUAGAAAAGUAGUUAGUAGGGGUCCUUAGCCCCUUCACCGCCUCUGCUAUUGCGUCACAUGCUGCCGACCAUUUUUCGCUGCUUUGUAGCAUAGCCUCCACGAGUGAUUGCAUCUAGUACUGUCAAAUCGCAUACACUCAAAAAAGACGUAUUCUAUUACAUCUCUUCUGCAGAAGUCGCAUAUGGGUACCGGUUCAUGUUUGAAUAGUGUCGAGUUAAACAGUUUGUCAAAUAGAAAUCGACUUCGCCGUUUAGCCUGCUUCAUUUGCGUGUAUAUACGUAUGCAUGGAAGAUUUUCUCUUC